CCAAGCUCGAACUCUGAAAGGAGGCGUCAAACCCGAGUUGCCCCGGAAAAAUCUACGGCCAUGAACAAAAGGAUGGGUCAAUGCGGCGGCCAUCGGGUACCUCCAAACGGCAUCGAUAUCGAGCAAGGCAAAAGUUGAAAGGAGCUCGGCAAACAACAAUUCAAUAUAUGAGUAAAAGAGGUAAUAAAAAAUUCCCUCCUCAUGUCAUUAAUUGAGUAUACAUUAUAGAACCCUUGAGGCCGA
rnacentral:lncRNA from 1 species